CUUCUUUCCAAUGCUUGCCAAAAUCAUGUAAGUUUUCAAUCCUUAUGUGUUUAUCAUGUUAGAUACAUGUUAGGAUGUUGGAUUUGAUAUUUUGGAGCUUAGAUUUAAGGGAUUGUGUUCUUAGUGUUUUGUUGGUUAAUAUAUUGAUUGUUUUUGUUAGUUUAGGAUUAUUAUGUGUUUAUGUAAUUUUAAAAGUGUUUUAUCAUUUAAAAAUGGAUUUUCAGUUGUUAAAGAAAUUAGCUUUUUGAUAUAUUGCAUUUUAAGAAAAAGUUUAUUGGUUUUUAAUAUAUAAAAACGUUUUUUAAAAAUAUUAUAUAUCUAGAAUCAUUUAAAAUAUAUAUAAACGUUUUCGUUAGUAAUUAUAAUAUUAAAAAACGUUUUUACAAUAAUUUCAAAUAUAAGUUAUCAAAAAAAUAAUAAUAAUUUCAAAUAUAUAAAAACUCUUCUCCAUAUUUUAAAUUUUCCAUAACUUGUUUCAAUUAUUUAAUUUAUACUUUAAAUAUUUCAAAAUGUUUCAAAAAAAUAUUUAAAAUGUUUUAGUUAUUAUUAAAAAUAUUUAAUAUAUAAUUUAUAUAAAAUUUUUAGUUUAAAAUUUAUAAAUUUAAUUCUACCUGCAGAUUCCAAGCUUUUUCUUCGAUUUUCACUCGUCUUCUUUCUAAUGCUUGUCAAAAUCAUGUAAGUUUUUAAUCCUUUUGUGUUUAUCAUGUUUGAUACAUGUUAGGAUGUUGGAUUUGAUAUUUUGGAACUUAGAUUUAUGGGAUUUUGUUCUUAGUGUUUUGUUGGUUAAUAUAUUGAUUGUUUUUGUUAGUUUAGGACUAUUAUGUGUUUAUGUAAUUUUAAAAGCGUUUUAUCAUUUAAAAAUGGAUUUUCAGUUGUUAAAUAAAUUAGCUUUUUAAUGUAUUGCAUUUUAAGAAAAAGUUUAUAGGUUUUUAAUAUAUAAAAACGUUUUUUAAAAAUAUUAUAUAUCUAGAAUCACUUAAAAUAUAUAUAAACAUUUUUGUUAGUAAUUAUAAUAUAAAAAACGUUUUUACAAUAAUUUUAAAUAUAUAAAAACUCUUCUCCAUAUUUUGAAUUUUCCAUAACUUUUUUCAAUUAUUAAAGUAUAUUUUAAAUAUUUCAAAACAAUAUUUAAAACGUUUUAAUUAUUAUUAAAAAUAUUGAAUAUAUAAUUUAUAUAAAAUUUUUAGUUUAUAAUUUAUAAAUUUAGCAUUUAUAUGUUUAAUUUGUUAGAUUAAAUUUAUAUAUUAUAAAUCUUUUUACAAAUUAAGUAUAUUUUUGGUAUAUUUUAUUUAAUUUAAUUUUAUUUUUUUAAAUUAUUUUACUUUUCAAAAAUUCCCGACGCAUGUCGGUUGGAAAUUUCCGAUGGGUAUUCCCUACAAAUUUUCGUUGGAAAUCCGUCAGGAAAAUGUCUGUCCAGCAUCUGUCGGAAUGGCCCGAUGAAUUUCCGAUGGAUUUUCAAUUCCCAACGAGAUAAUCCUGACGAAUAGUUUUGUCAAGAAUUUGUGGAGAACGCCGAAUCUUGAUGGUUUUCCGACAAUUUAUCCGUUGGAAUUCACGUGUUUUGUAUUGGUAAGGAAAAUUAUUUUAUAUACUUAGUGAUUUUUUUAUCUUUCUUUUCGGGAGUGCGGGGAGGGAGGGAAAAAACAUGAAGUCAUUUAAAUGCCCGAAGUCUGCAUAAGCUUGAGGAGAAAUAUUUAUUUGUUGUUAAGCCAAAGUCCCAGGUCUCUGAGUAAGCCCGUACUUUUUUGAAGAAUCCUGCAGUUGUCAUUUUGAACUGAAUCCAUACAUGAGUGGAGGAGGUUGGGGUACGGUACUAAAGGUCGUCGGAUUUAGGUACCAAAUGCUUUAGCAAUCUUAGAUUCAA
rnacentral:lncRNA from 1 species